ACACUUUUUCCAAACUUUGACACUAGAGACAUAUUCCACUUGUUGUCUUAAACACAAGGUCAUUGAACAAGUCAUUUUUUUCUUAAUUCUAUCUCUUUAAAUCACUUUUUUCCCCAAACUUCACCUUCUUUGUGACUCAAUUAUCAACCUUAGCUUCAUGUAACAAACUAUUAAACCAUUUACUUAACCUUCUUUACAUUAACAAAGACUCUAGUUCAAAAUUCAUCACAUCUAAGUUUAAGGCUUAAGAUGAAGGUAAUUUUUCUUCUUCAAGUGUUCCUAUUGAUGAUUUCAGGUUCUCAAGCUAUAUCUAAUGAAGAUUUCAAUCUCAAUUUCACUUCAGAUGAUAAAACCCUAAUCCACAGCAAUGAACAAGCUCAUGAGCUUCUAGGAAACUUAUAUGGAAAUGGAAACAUUGAAGUCUCCACAAGGUUGAACCACAAAGUUGUUUAUGAGGAAAGUAAAAAUGAACAGAAACAUGAACUAUCAGUUACUAUAAGAAAGGGAGGAGGCGGAGGAAGGGGAGGAGGCGGAGGAAGGGGAAGAGGAUUCGGAGGAAGGGCAGGAGGAAUUGGUGUUGGAGUUAUCGGCGGUGGAGUGGGCGCUGGAAUUGCCGGCGGAGCACUCGACCAUCACAAUCACUCUCAUAAUUCUGGAACGUCAUUAUUUGCAGGACCUUAUUGUUGGGUCAUAACAUUUAUUUCAUGUUGUCGUGUCUAGUGCUCGUGUCAACGUCAGUACUACAUAGUUACAUAGAGAUAAGCUGGACAAGCAUCUGAUGCAGCUAAAGGUAGAGGCUCCAAAUGAAGCACCUUGCUUCUAUUUCAAGCAACUAUAUAUCAACAUAGAGAAUUUGGUCCAUAUGCUUCUCUCCCUCUCUUUAUACUCCUUAUAUAAACCCUCUUCUUCUACCAACUUGAAGUACGUUAACAAUUAUCAAAUUGUGUACAAAAAACCUUGAGCCAAAAAUGAGAAUAAGAUAUCUUACAUGCUUCAUCAUUGUUUUCUUCACUCAAGUAAUAUCAAUCUUUGGUUUACAUGGAAACUUCAGUUCUGAACAGAAAGGUCUAAACUCAUCAAAUAACAACAUUCAAACAAAGCAAAGUAUUAGUAGAACCUAUGAAAACAUAAAGGACGGAAUCAAGUUUCACAAAAAAGGUGAGCAAUAUAACAAGGAGGAAAAGUUCGAGCAAGAUUAUGAGUUGAUUAAGAAAGCUAAUAGAGGAAAAGGAGGUAAUGGUGGUGCAAAUGUUAAUUAUCGCUCCGACCCUCGCCGUUCUCGAAAAUCUGCAUCAUCUUUUUUAUCAAGGAUUUCAACUGUGUGUGUAAGCUUUGUGUUAUUAUUAGUUUUCUCCUUCCAUGCUAAGUUGCUCUAAAUUUUCAAACAUUUUUAGUAUCACAUGUUUCUGUUUGAAGCUUGGGAUUCUUUAGAAGAGAAGUGAAUCUCUUUGUACAUCAUGAAGUAUUGUUAUUGUGCUUCUAAAUUCUCAGAACUUAAAUUUUAAAUUUUGACAUGAAUAAAUGCUUCUAGUUAAGCUUGUCACA